GAGGGGCAGCAUGAAUAAUAGCAAUAUUAUUUGAUGGCGACCGGCGCACGGGUGCGUAACACGUAUGUAAUCUGCCUUGAACUGGGGCAUAACGUCGAGAAAUCGGCGCUAAUUCCCCAUAACACCAUAGAGUGGCAUCACUAAAUGGUUAAAGCUCCGGCGGUUCAAGAUGAACAUGCGUCCAAUUAGCUAGUUGGUGAGGUAACGGCUCACCAAGGCUCCGAUUGGUAGGGGUUCUGAGAGGAUGAUCCCCCACACUGGUACUGAGACACGGACCAGACUCCUACGGGAGGCAGCAGUGAGGAAUAUUGCGCAAUGGACGAAAGUCUGACGCAGCCAUGCCGCGUGAAGGAUUGAAGGCCCUAUGGGUUGUAAACUUCUUUUGUAUGGGAAUAAACGCUACUACGUGUAGUAGCCUGAAGGUACCAUAAGAAUAAGCACCGGCUAACUCCGUGCCAGCAGCCGCGGUAAUACGGAGGGUGCAAGCGUUAUCCGGAUUUAUUGGGUUUAAAGGGUCCGUAGGCGGAUCGUUAAGUCAGCGGUGAAAGCCCUCUGCUCAACAGAGGAACUGCCGUUGAUACUGGCGAUCUUGAAUGUGUAUGAAGUUGGCGGAAUGUGUGGUGUAGCGGUGAAAUGCUUAGAUAUCACACAGAACACCGAUUGCGAAGGCAGCUGACUAAUACAAUAUUGACGCUGAGGGACGAAAGUGUGGGGAUCAAACAGGAUUAGAUACCCUGGUAGUCCACACCGUAAACGAUGAUUACUAGAUUUUGGCCGUAAGGUCAGAGUCCAAGCGAAAGUGUUUAGUAAUCCACCUGGGGAGUACGACCGCAAGGUUG
rnacentral:rRNA from 1 species